rnacentral:rRNA from 1 species
AGAGUUUGAUCAUGGCUCAGAGCGAACGCUGGCGGCAGGCUUAACACAUGCAAGUCGAGCGGGCGUAGCAAUACGUCAGCGGCAGACGGGUGAGUAACGCGUGGGAACGUACCUUUUGGUUCGGAACAACACAGGGAAACUUGUGCUAAUACCGGAUAAGCCCUUACGGGGAAAGAUUUAUCGCCGAAAGAUCGGCCCGCGUCUGAUUAGCUAGUUGGUGAGGUAACGGCUCACCAAGGCGACGAUCAGUAGCUGGUCUGAGAGGAUGAUCAGCCACAUUGGGACUGAGACACGGCCCAAACUCCUACGGGAGGCAGCAGUGGGGAAUAUUGGACAAUGGGGGCAACCCUGAUCCAGCCAUGCCGCGUGAGUGAUGAAGGCCCUAGGGUUGUAAAGCUCUUUUGUGCGGGAAGAUAAUGACGGUACCGCAAGAAUAAGCCCCGGCUAACUUCGUGCCAGCAGCCGCGGUAAUACGAAGGGGGCUAGCGUUGCUCGGAAUCACUGGGCGUAAAGGGUGCGUAGGCGGGUCUUUAAGUCAGGGGUGAAAUCCUGGAGCUCAACUCCAGAACUGCCUUUGAUACUGAAGAUCUUGAGUUCGGGAGAGGUGAGUGGAACUGCGAGUGUAGAGGUGAAAUUCGUAGAUAUUCGCAAGAACACCAGUGGCGAAGGCGGCUCACUGGCCCGAUACUGACGUUCAUGUGCGAAAGCGUGGGGAGCAAACAGGAUUAGAUACCCUAGUAGUCC